ensembl:snRNA U1 U1 spliceosomal RNA
UGACUUACCUGGCAGGGGAGAUGCCAUGAUCACGUAGGUGGUUUUCCCAGGGUGAGGCGCAUCCAUUGCACUCCAGGUGUGCUAACCCUUGCAAUUUCCCUCAACAUGGGAAACUCAACUGCGUUGUUUGUGGCAGUGGGGGACUGCAUUUGCGCUUUCUCCUG